AGCUGCAUGAAGGGUGCUGUGUGCUGGGCUGGAGGAUGGAGCCAUGUGCCACUCCCUCUGAGGCACGCUGUGAAGGUGCAAGCGGUGUGUUCUGAGAGUGCAGAGGAUGAAAACUUCUCACCCAGCUUUCUACAUUCAAGUUUACAAGUGCUGCUCAGGAGCCACUGAUUAUUUCCAGGGGAAGAUCACCAAACCGCCUAAGGCCGAGACUCCCAGGAUAGCGCAGCAUGCCCCGGAGUCCCCCAGCUCUAUUUGCUCAGAACUCAGAAAGAAAACAGCCCACACUCCUUGAACUUCAGGCACUGAUGGAGGCAUUUUCCAAAGAACAGUGACAAGGACAGCCAGCACCUCUCCUGCAUUCCUCAGUCUGACUCAAGCUGCUCUUCCACCCUCCUCCCCAGCUGGAGCUGAGGCUGAAGGCAGUUGAGGGCCACCGGAGAGAAGAGCUGGGUCAGGGCCGUGACUUGCAGCAAGCAUGAGGCCAUGCAGAUGUGCCGGGACAGCUGUGGUGACAGAGCUGUGGCCAACUGCUCCCUGGGCCGAGGCUGAAGGAAGCUGUGCUCCCACUGGUGCUAGGGAAGGCUGCUGCAGGGCUGGAGGCCUGGGUGCUGGACUGCUGGGGCGGGCUGCCUGCUGCACCCCCAAGCUGCAGUCAGGGCUCGCCCUGAGGCCCUGAGGUGGAGAGAGAGCAGCUCUCUCGUACACACCCAUGUGCACAAGCGCAGGCACACACACACACACACACACACACACAAGACGUUCUCACUUCAUCCCCGAAUUCUCCCUCCUACACACAAAGCUAGUUCCCAGUUCUCCAGUCCCCCUUCAUCCCUCUCCACUUCUGUAGUCUCUGCUGGGCUGCACUGGGGAUCUGGUCCCAAUUGCCCUCUCUUCCCUUGCUGCCCCUGUAACAAAGGGCUGGCCGUGUGACAUGAUCUCCUCAGGCUUCAGAGAAGUGAUUUUACCCUGAGCUACACAGGCAGGAAGACCACCAGCCUGGAAGGGCCCUUCAGCCACUUUCCCAACAAACAGCAAAUCUCCGCCGACUGAACUCUGACUGAGGCAAUGGGGGCAUGCCAGGCAACAAGGUGGAGGUUUGCUACCGUGGGAGCAGGGAGAGCGUGGAACACAGACGCUCUGGAUGUUGAAGAGGAGGCUUCACCCUUAAAUCCACACCAACAGCCCCCUUCACUUCCCCCGGUGAAGAACGAAGGACCCUGUGGGAUUUCUACUUCAAAUCUCUCAUUUAUUCCGACACCCACUCGGUUAUGACUCCAAGUUAUCAAAGAUGCAAGACAAGAAGUCUAGAGCAGGAGUGGUGAAGUGGAGGUGGAGAAAGACGGCGGAGAGGGCUGUGUUCCUGGCCCCUCCUUCUCUUCCAAUUUAGGGCACCGUUUGAAAAGUGUACAAAUAGUGUCCCUUAGCACAGUCUAGAUAGCAGAAAAGGACAGUGCAGUUGAGUGGGGGAAGCUUCCUUUUCCACCGGGUGGGGCCCUGCGGCUGCAGCGGGCAGGCAGGCAAUCUCGAGCCUGGUCGGAGACCGUGCCCUGAGCAGCGUGGGCUGUGUGGGGAAGAGCUGGGGCCCACCAUCUCUCCAGCGCCCCAAACCCAGAUUCUGAUUUUUGGGGCUAGCAGGGCUUAGCUAGGAAAGCAGUAGGAGGGAGGGGAUUGCACAGGACGCUUACACUCAGGGACCCCAUCGAUCAGGGGCAAGAAGCGGGUGAUGGUUAACUGGGUCUUGAUUUUUACAAAGGCAGGACGUACGAAUGAUGUUAUUUCUGGCAAGGAGGACAUGGCUGCUGUGGUUGAUUGGCUGUGGAAUUCCAGGGGAGCAAGGCACUAGGAAGUGGGGAACGCUGCCAGGCCCAGCAGCUCAUCAGGAGCUUGCACUUGGCCCAGUUAGGGCUGGCCGUGGGACGGGUUUGUUGAAGCUGCUGCCGCCAUAAGCUGCCCCUCUGCACCAGGAGACAGAUCCCAUUACCCCACCUACAGCUGCUUCCUGGUACAAGAGAAGAGUUACCAUUUGAAGUGACUCCACAGGAGAGUCUGACAAACAUGUUUGCUUUUCACUGACAAUUAAAAUUGUUUUGCUGCUAA